CCAUUACUGUCACCAAGUAUUCCCAUUGUAUCUCCACCAUAUAAUACUGUGCCUCCACCAGUUGCUGAAGGACAUGAAGCACCCAUGCCACCAAAUGCUUCUCAAGGAAACAAACCAAUUAAUACUCCUGUUUCUGUGCCAGUCACAGCACCUUCAAAGAAUUUGCCUGAUGAUUCACCAAUCAUCCAUCCAAGUUCACCUGCUACUUCCCCGAUCAUCCACCCUAGCGC
rnacentral:misc_RNA from 1 species